GCAACCAUGUCCGACCGAUUAAGGAGAUUGAUUAGAAAUCAAUUGGGCUUUGCCCACGCAGGUUCGAAUCUUGCUGGUUGCG
rnacentral:tRNA from 1 species